rnacentral:rRNA from 1 species
AAGUCGUAACAAGGUUUCCGUAGGUGAACCUGCGGAAGGAUCAUUAAUGAAUUGAAAGGGAGUUGAUGCUGGCCAGGUCUCUGGCAUGUGCUCGCUUCCGACAAUCUUAUCCAUACACCUGUGCACACUGUGAGGGCAUGCAAGUGCCCUUAUUUACUACAUACACCUAAUAUGGAAAUCGCACGUGACUUGCGUCGUAUGGCGCUUAAAACUAAAAACAACUUUUAACAACGGAUCUCUUGGCUCUCGCAUCGAUGAAGAACGCAGCGAAAUGCGAUAAGUAAUGUGAAUUGCAGAAUUAGUGAAUCAUCGAAUCUUUGAACGCACCUUGCGCUCCUUGGUAUUCCGAGGAGCACGCCUGUUGCAGUGUCGUGAAACUCUCAAGCUAGAUGCUUUAGUGUCAUCUAUUUGGUUAUUGGACUCUGCUGUCUCCUUGUCUGGAACGGCUGGUCUCAAAUGUAUUAGCUGGUCCUUGUUGUGGGAUUUGGUUCUACUCAGCGUGAUAAUAAUCUAUGACCGCUGAGGACAUCUCUCGGGAUGGCCAAGCCUGCCUUGGGCUGCUUCUAACUCAUCAUCAUGAUAUUUUUCAACUUUGACGACCUCGAAUCAGGCGGGACUACCCGCUGAACUUAAGCAUAUCAAUAAGCGGAGGAAAAGAAACUAA